GAGUUUGAUUCUGGCUCAGGACAAACGCUGGCGGCGUGCAUAACACAUGCAAGUCGAACGAAAUCUACAUGAUUUAGUGGCGAACGGGUGAGUAACACGUGAGAAACCUGCCUUACACAGAGGGAUAGCCGUUGGAAACGACGAUUAAUACCUCAUGACACCGUGACAUCGCAUGAUGAUGCGGUCAAAGAUUUAUCGGUGUAAGAUGGUCUCGCGCCUGAUUAGCCGGUUGGUGGGGUAACGGCCUACCAAGGCGACGAUCAGUAGCCGAUCUGAGAGGGUGGACGGCCACAUUGGGACUGAGACACGGCCCAAACUCCUACGGGAGGCAGCAGUGGGGAAUUUUGCACAAUGGGGGAAACCCUGAUGCAGCGACGCCGCGUGAACGAAGAAGGCCUUCGGGUUGUAAAGUUCUGUCCUUGGUGAAGAUAAUGACA
rnacentral:rRNA from 1 species